rnacentral:tRNA from 1 species
GGCUUCGUAACACAGCUGAUAGAGCGCUCACCGCGUUGAGGCACGGUGUUUCUGUCGCUGGUUCGAAUCCAGCCAAAGCCC